rnacentral:rRNA from 1 species
UGGGGAAUAUUGCACAAUGGGGGAAACCCUGAUGCAGCGACGCCGCGUGAGCGAAGAAGUAUUUCGGUAUGUAAAGCUCUAUCAGCAGGGAAAGAAAAAAAUGACGGUACCUGAGUAAGAAGCACCGGCUAAAUACGUGCC